CAGUAGCCGCGGUAAUACGUAGGGUGCGAGCGUUAAUCGGAAUUACUGGCGUAAAGCGUGCGCAGGCGGUGAUGUAAGACAGUUGUGAAAUCCCCGGGCUCAACCUGGGAACUGCAUCUGUGACUGCAUCGCUGGAGUGCGGCAGAGGGGGAUGGAAUUCCGCGUGUAGCAGUGAAACGCGUAGAUAUGCGGAGGAACACCGAUGGCGAAGGCAAUCCCCUGGGCCUGCACUGACGCUCAUGCACGAAAGCGUGGGGAGCAAACAGGAUUAGAUACCCCCGUAGUCCCUGUCUCUUAUACA
rnacentral:rRNA from 1 species